rnacentral:lncRNA from 10 species
UACACACGCAGUCCUAUCCCUACGGUCCUGGAAUUGGGGGUUACUAUCUUGGAAUCUAGGGGCACUCCAGGCUCUGGGCUCAGACGGCUGGCUUCUGCCUACCCGAGCCUUAACCUUUCAAGGACCAGAAGGAUUCCAGAGCUCUUGCCCUAGGUCCUGGGGCAGCGAUGACUCACUGCAGCACCCCCUCCCACUUCGCCAAGCUGCCGUCUCCGCCCACCCCCAAACAAUCUCGACAGCGCAUUUCGGGAGCCACGGCUCCGGGCGCUUUGCUGGGGGCUAAAGGGGUUUAUCCCUUUCCUUGAAUCCCAGCAGGCUAGAACUACCCCCUCCCAGUCUUCAGGCUUGCCACGCUCUCCACCCGAUCCUUCCAUUGAAAGGCAGAGAAGGAAGGAUGUGCUUGGGAACUUUAAGACCCACGAACGACAGCGCACUGAUGGAGCAGCCCAGUGUCUGGGGGGUUGACUUCAGGACUGGAGUAUGUGAAGAUUCUGGUAUAUCUGCAAGGAUCCUGGAACCAAUCCCCUGCCAACACCAAGGGAUGAAGCAAAGUCCUCGAGGUUCAUUCAUUCAGGAAGCCUCUGACCAGCCUUUACCAUGCGCUGAGUGAGAAGCUGAGGAUAAGGAAAGAGCAAGACCCCCAAGAAACCCUGAUGUCUGGCUGAAAGCCGAAGCAUGACGCAACUUUGCUAUAUUUCUCUCCAACAAGGAUUUGUAUAUUUUCGCUUUCUCCUCAAGUAACACCUGGACCUGCUCCUUUCCCUUCAAACGCUGAGGGCUCAGUCUCCAAGUUCCUUUAUGAAACAGGGUGUACCAUCAGAGACGCAGGUAUUUAUUGAAACCUGCUUUGUGCUGGGCAAUGUGCCAGAUGUUGGGGAUAAAAUGGAGACUUCAGAAAUGAAGAUGCAAAGACAACAGGGGAAACCAUAUAUGUUUAUGGACAGUCAUGCCAAAGUAUGAUUGGAAGACAAAAAGAUUUUUGGCCAAUUCACUGCUCACUAACAUCUCCAUCAAAGGGUAACUGGGUUGGGGCACCGGGUGUGGGAAGGAGAGGAAGGAAACGAGAAUCGGCAGUUUCCAUUACCUGCUAGCAACUCUGGAAAAACACACAUUGUAAAAUAAGAAUUCUUCAAAGACAACUUGAAGACAUCUGGGAAUUCUGAAGCCUGAAAAUUCCAUGAGUUCAUAGCAGUGUUCACUAAUUCCACUGAUCUAAAGACAAAAAGGAGAGUCAACUGCGUGCCCAAACUCAUUUCUGAUGAUUUCUUCCAUCCUAACUUUUCUGCCUCUCUGGGGGUGGUUAUGCCUGUGAAAAACAUUGAAGCUGUCAGGAACAGAGUCGGCUUUCAAGAUUGGAAUGUCAAAGUAGAGUCUUCUUUUCCUCAGACCAGAAGGGGCUUGGUUGGGUAAGAGUUUCCAGAUCUAAAUGGAGACAGGACUGGGAUAUAGGAGCUUGUACGGAUAAACAACACAAACACCUUGGUUGAAGAAACCGAAGCACAAAGAAUAACUUGUCCAAGAUCACAGAGUUUAGGAAGUAAGGAAGCAGGGCUUUGAGCUUUGCAUCAAGUGAUGACCCAUAAAUGCAAAUGGAAUACAACAGGAGUGGGUCCCUAAAGUCCCACCCAGAGAAUGCCCUUCUGCCAAAAAAUUUCGGAUUGAAACAGCAAAAACACCUAAGCAACUGAUAGUCAGCUAUGCCAUGAAGUAGGUAAUAUCAAAAUCGAAUGCUUCUAAGAAUUCAUCUAUGGAAAUCUUUGCAGGAAAUAAUCCAUCAACCUUUGAGAUAGGCAGGCCUUUAAAACCAGGGUGAUUCCCUGCAUACAAAACCAUAACUAAUGGCAAAUUAGAAUAAGCCUAACAUCCGGUACUCUCGAUCAACAAGAAAAAAAAAAUGGAACCUAAGGAGAAUAAGAUUUCAAAGGCGAAGUGCAGAUUCAGAAUUAACCAAGGAAAUAGGUGUUCUGACAUUAAGAAAUAUUUCUUGUUGUCACCGUCAGAAUAUUUUUGACAUUGAGGAGAUGACACAAGAGCCUAAACAGGAUGAGAAUACUGAGCUUUUAAGCAGCAUUUGCCUUGAUUUUUACUUUAAAUUCACUGGACCCUUCUGCUGCAAAGAUCAAUUUUCCAGAGGGAACUUAUUCACCAAGAUCCAGUACUAAUUACUUUGUCAGUGUAACUCCCAUGGAGAAGAAAGCUCAUAUCUUAGAGGACAGGGCAGCAUAAGUGGGGCAAAAUGGACUUCGGAGGCAGGCAGACCUGGAUUUGAAUGCUCGCUCCACCACUCUCUAGCUGUGUGUCUUUGUCAAGUUGCAAAACUUCCCAAAGCCUAUGCUUCCUCAGCUGUAAUGGGAAUAACAACCAGGAAUUUAAAAAUGUAUUAUAAGAAUGAGAGGCCGGGCACAGUGCUUCAUGCCUGUAAUCCCAGCGCUUUGGGAAGCCGAGGCGGAUGGAUCACUUGAGGCCAGGAGUUAAGACCAGCCUGGCCAACAUGGUGAAACCCCGUCUUUAUUAAAAAUACAAAAAUUAGCCAGGUGUGGUGGCAUGCACCUGUAAUCCCAGCUACUUGGGAGGUUGAGACAUGAGAAUCACUUGAACCUGGGAGGUAGAUGUUGCAGUGAGACGAGAUCACGCCACUGCAUGCCUCUACAACCUCCAACUCAGAGGCCUGUUAGAAAAUGAGCUUCUGAACCUGGAAAACUGUGCACUGUUCUACAGACUCAGCCAAAACAGGCCACGUGUCUCAACAAUCUCCACAGUAGUACAAAGGUUUCCUUACAGUUUAGUAGCAGGCAUUGUUUAAUGCAGGGAUUUUCAACAUUCUAUUGCCAAAAAUUCCAUUAAAUCAUGUUUUUGAAGCUCUUGCAUACAAAAUAGGUGAUAUUUAUUCAACAAAUUAUUGUUUCACUUCUUAUUAAUCUAAGGUAUAAAAAAUUUUCCCAUAGAGGUUUUGAAUGAACACCAUUCAUUCAUCAGUAAAUGUCUAUGCAGUACUAUGUGUGAUAUGCUGGGGACACAAUGCUGACAGAGACCUGAUUCCUGCUCGCAGUUUGUUGGGAAGAUGGACAAGUGAAAGCCAUGACAGUGAGAAAGAGCCGUGACAAGGCAAGUGCAGAGUGUUAAGGGAGUCUAUGGAAGAGGCAUUGCCUGUGACUUGGAGAGUUAGGAAUGACUUUCUGGAGGAAGUACCUCAGUCCCAGGACUUGAAGGAUAAGUGAGAGAGAGCCAAGAAAGACAACACAGGGAGAAAGCUUUGGGCAAAGGGAACGAUGUGUGCAAGUCUUUGGGAUGAGUGAACAAGCUGAAUUCCAUAAAGGAAACAUUUUUGGUAUGGCUGAAGUGUGACCUUCCCAACACAUUUAGUCCUGCGCUGCCUCACGUUGGUCAAGUGGUUGAUUUCAAUUACGCUUUUCGCGAGUAUCUUCCAGAUCACUGCCUCCCUCACAGAUCCUCCAGGAUUUGUAGAAUCCCAGCUGAGAAUAGUCAAGGGCUUUGGUCCAAACAAAUCAAGCUAAUUUCCCAACUCCACCGUUGAGUGUCUACACCGCCUUGGGCAGUGCGCUUAUUUUUGAGUCUCAAUUUCCACAUCUAUGAAUGAAAGAAUAAUAUCUAGCUUGUCGAGUAGUUGGGACCAUUAAAUAUAUUGAUGACUCUCUACCGAGGUACCUAAUGGAUUCCUUGACACACAGUAGGCACUCAAUAAAUCACAACCAUCCCAUUAGCCACCAGUGAGAGCUGAAUUCUGUAAACUUCCAACUGGCAAAUGCUGAUAUGGUUAAUGGCUGCAGUAAAAACCCAGGUGUAUCAAAUUUAGUUUUCGGUUUUUGAAGACAAAAAUCUUCAAUAAUUAUACACUGACAAUUCUCGCUACUUUUGAUUACUAUGACCCAGAUACCGUGGAAAGCAUUUAUAUUAAACUUUUAUUUAACCCUUACAACCAUGCUAUGAGAUCAUUUGUAUUUCUACAAAAGAAAAAGCCUCUUGAUCUUAACUACAUUUUCACAUUUGGAGUUAAACAGUUUCAUUUCCUGCACAAGUUCCCAGGGACUUUAAUCUGAAAAUAUGCAUUAUCAAAUCUAAGAUAGAGGAAAACAGUCUAAAGGGUUUUCCAGAUGUAUUUGACAAUUAAAUCUCAUUUUGAUUGGAUGUAAAUUAAAAUUUCAUUGAGAUGUACUUUGUAAAAUGCUAAAAUAUUAUCAGCACUAUUUUAUACCUGAGAAAACUGGGCCUCAGAGAAGUUAAGCAACUUUCCUAUUGUCAAACAGCUAAUAAGCGGGAGGGAUUAUGAUUUGAAACCAGGUCUUUCUCGCUCCAAAAACAUACACUUGGCCACUGGACAAUUAUUUUAACAGAACUCCAAUUCUUAGAAGAUAUGUAACGUACAAAGCUAUAGGUUGUUACACUACAACCCUAACAAUUCUGGAUAGAACAGUCCGAACAAAAACCAAAAAAACACCUCCGCAUACCAAGUCAGGAGUCUCAGUCUUAAAAGACAGCACCCACUCCCAAUACAGGAAAACAGCCAAAAAAAAAAAAAAAAAAAGCCACUGUGUUUCCAUACGACCAACGUUUUCCUGAUGUCAGGUAACUGAGACCUUCACACUACACUCAGCCCUACACCUACCUUACUGCUUCUCACCGUAGACUAGUCUGCUGGCCCCGCAUCUCAAAACCCCGGCUCCACCUAUAGUGGCCCAUACCUUUCCCUAUUUUAGUGGUGCUUAGUGACAGCUCGCAUCUGGUUUUUCCCUCAGCAAAGGCAACUGCAGCUCACUGCUGAGAAUAUUACUAAAGCAAAUAAUUCAUUUAGCCCAAACCUAAUAAUCCCUCCUCAAAACUCAGAGAAUAUGAAAAAGAAUUGCCCCUUCUAGUUCCCUCGGCAUUAUGGGAACAAGCAAGACUUUCAUUUACUUCAGCAGUCCAUAUGUUUGAAGGUCAAACAACACCUGGGUAUUUCUUUGAAAUGAACUAAUUGAGCCUGGAUGAUUUAGAGUUAGUCUUGCUGAAAGACUCACUGGAUCUCCAAUGGUAACCCAAAACCUGCUUUUGAAAACUCUGGAUUCCUCCAACCCCAGCUUUAUCAAAUGGCAAAGAAUAUUUGAUGCUGUUCAAAGAUUAAGGCCUGGAUCAAACUGAGUAAAAAGAAAGAGAAAGGAUUGCUUUCAAACUACUAUGAAAAAGAGCCUUGGCCCCAGGUGUUCAGAGUGGUAAAGAAAUCAGAGCCAGCCAAAGGGAAAUCAGGCAGAGGGCCUAGAAAGGAAUAGUUUUCAAAUGCUAAGUGUGCAUAGAGAGCAACUGGGAGGCAUCUUGACAAUGCAGGCUUCCCACCUGGUUUUUCCCUUGUAUUCCUCCCCACUUCCUUUUUUUUUUUUUUUUUUUUUUGAGACAGGGUCUCGUUUGGUCACCCAGGCUGGAGUGCGGUGGCACAACCAUAGCUCACUGCAGUUUCAACCUCUUGGGCUCAAACAAUCCUCCCACCUCAGCCUCCCAAAUAGCUGGGACUACAGGUGUGUGCCACCAUGCCCAGCUAAUUUUUGUAAUUUUUUUUUGUGGAGACGAGGUUUCUCCUUUCCCAAGCCUAAACUCCUGAGCUCAAGUAAUCCACUUGCUUUGGCUUCUUAAAGUGCUGGGAUUACAGGCGUCAUAUGGUUUGGCUGUGUCCCCACCCAAAUCUCAUCUUGAAUUGUAGCUCCCAUAAUUCCCAUGUGUUGUAGGAGGGACCUGGUGGGAGAUACUUGAUUCAUGGGGGCAGUUUCCCCCAUAGUGUUCAUGUGGUAGUGAAUAAGUGUGGUAGUGAAUUCAUGUGGUAGUGAAUAAGUCUCAUGAGAUCCAACGAUUUUAUAAGGGGAAUCCCCUUUUGCCUCACUUCUCUCUUGCCUGCCACCAUGUAAGAUAUGCCUUUCACCUUCUCCCAUGAUUGUGAGGCUUCCCCAGCCACGUGUAACUGUGAGUCCAUUAAACCUCUUUUUCUUUAUAAAUUACCCAGUCUCGGAUAUGUCUUUAUCAGCAGCAUGAAAAUGGUCUAAUAAAAGGUGUGAGCCACUGCUCUCAGCACUGUUCCCCUUUUAGCUAGUUUUCAUGGAAACCUCGUUCAUAGGAACACACCAAAUUAACACAUACAGAGACCAGUUUGAUUCAGAUUGGGAGAAACGCAUCGACUUCACCUAAUUGUUUGCAUCACAUGCUGCCAUGAACACCAAUUGGUUAGUUUGGUUUAUGUCAGGUGACUUCUAUCUGAAAGCCAAAGGUGGUCUCAAGGUGGAAAAUCCCCUCUUUGCCUAUUGGUCCUCCAGUUUCACAAACACAUAGGACCUUGUAUUUGUCUGUAUCGUUUUCACUGGCACUGUGGUGAAGUAUUUCCCCAUUGGACUAUUAAUAUCUUAUUCUGCACUUGACUGUGAACUUCAUGUGGAUCCCUGCCCAUCUUGGUCAUAACUGCAUUAAUAACUGAAUAAAUCAUAACUGAAUUAUUAAUAGUCAUAACUGAAUUAAUAAACGAAUGGCAUUAGAAACCAGUGACUGGGCUAACAAGAGCUCUCUGGGGCAAAUACAUUGGGUGAUACAUAAUUUUUUUAAAAAAUGGAGAAAAUGUACAACCAUUUAUUUUCAUCUUAUAAUUUUAAAAUGUACAUAUUUACCAAGAAUUAUACUGUUUGGUUUCAACCACACUCAACCAUUAUGAUUGAGGGAGAGUAUGGAAACUGAAAUAAUAACAAUAGAGUAUAAUAAUAAUAAUGCUCAGAGCUAAGAUUUAUGAAGGACUUGUGUGUCUGGCCCUGUGCUAGGUUUUGCUUAUGUAUUACCUCAUAUAAUUGCCUCAACCAGUCUAUGAGGUAGGUAUCUCCACUUUACAAAAUGAGGGGACUGGGAGCUGCCCAUGAGGAUUCCAAUAUGCCUGUGCUCUCAAACAGUAUGCAGAGACUAUACAGGAAGGUUCAUUCAUUCAUUCAUUCAACAAAUAUCUGAGUAUGUACUAUUACUAUCCUAGAACAAAAUAGUGCAGAUAAUAAACAAAAACACAUACCAUCUCAAUUCUUUUGGUGUUUAUAGUAUAGUAGGGGAGAUAGAUGUUAAUCAAUAACCACACAAAAAUGACAAAUACACAGCUGUUUUAAGUGUUAUAAAGGAGCAAUAUAUAUCAUUAGGAGAAAUUGGUCCUAGGCAGCUUUAUUGAGCUGAGACCUGAGGGAGGAGUAGAUGUUAACCAGAGAAGGAGAAGAAGGAGAAGUGUUCAAGGAAAAAGGAAGAGCUGUGCAAAGGCCCUGUGGUAGGAGGAAAUGUAUGCUUGAUGAGGGAAUAAAAGCAAGCUAUGAGAGUCUGGAACGUGAGAGCAAGAGACUGUAUAUAGCCAGAAAGGUAGGUGGGCCCUAGAGCAGUGGUUUUCAGACUUGAGUAUAUACAUCAGAAUCACUUGGAAGGCUUGUGAAAACACAAUCUGUUGGACCCCUUCCCCAGAGUUUCUGACUCAGCAGAUCUAAAGUGAGACGUAAGAUGUUGAAUUUCAAAACACACUACUGGGUGAUGCUGAUGGAUUCCAAGACUACACUUUGAGAACCACUGCCCUAGACUAGGUAGCACCUGGUGAGCUAUGGGGCCGAUUUCUGACUGUGUCCUAAGAAGAAUGAAAAAUAAUGGGAGGAUUCUAAGCUCGGGAGUGACAUGAUGCAAUUUACAUUUUGAAAAAUGCAGGGUAGAGACAAGAUGGUAGAGAGGCCAGGGUGGAUGCAGGUAGAUCAGCCCAAGGGUAAGCUGCAGUGCUCAGAAAAGACACCACUGUGGCAUGGCCUAAGGUGAUGGCCAAGGAGGUAGACAGAGGUAGGUGGAUUCAAGAGAGAUUUAGUCGGUGAAAUCAGUAGAACUUGGUGAUGAAUAAGGGGGUUAAGGGAGAGAUUAGCUGUUUGGCUUCUGCGUGAGCAAGUAGACAGAACAGUGGUGUUGUUCAGCGAGAGAGACCCUGGAAGAGGACCAGGCCUGGGAGAGAAGAUCAUGAGCUCAGUCCUGGACAUGCUGAACGCAAGGUACCUUCAAGGCAUUCAAAAGAUGGUAAGUAGACAGUUGAUAUAUGGGUCUGGAGUUAAGGGCAAGAUCAAGACUGGAGAUAAAACCAUGAGUCAUCUGAGUAUAUAUGCAACUUGAAACCACAGGGGUGGAUGAGAUCACUGGGUAGAGAAAUUAGAGUAAGAAGAGAGGGCCUAGGACCUCCAACAGCUAAUGGCUGGGUAAAAGAAAAAGAACCUACAAAGGAGGACAAGGAACACUAGGAAAAUAAACAGAGAGAAUUGUGCCCAGAAAUCAGGGAAAGGGAAGAAACAGUAGGCAAUAGUACCAGUGAUGCUCAGAUGACAACUAAGAUGAAGACUAAAGAAUGUCUGUUUAGGAAUGUGGAGGUAACCAUGGUGAGAGGUAAUUUGGUGAAGAAGGAGAGGAGAAGUUGGGAGUUUAGCAAUGUGGAGGUAACCAUGGUGAGAGGUAAUUUGGUGAAGAAGCAGAGGAGAAGUUGGGACUAGGCCACCACUGACAUUGGGGGAAGAGAGUGUUUAAUCUCCAACCUUCACUUAGUAUUAUUUUCAAUAUCCUUCCCUCCCAGUUAUAGCCCAAACACGUUAUUUUCCCUCCCUAUUCACUGCCAAAUGAAUCAGAAGUUCACUCUCCUUUUUUUUUUUUACCUCCCACUUACUCUUCCUGCAACUCUAAUUUGAAUUAUGGCCUACGAAUAUUUUUACUAAAUAUUACAAUUUAUCUAUUUUUUAUUUGUUUCAACACACAGAAGAGUUGCAAAAAUUUACCUGCUCUUAACAAGAAACAUAUCAUCUCUGAUUUGUCACUAAAGGAGAUCUCAAGAAUAUGAGGCUGUAGGUCCUGAUCUUAUUUCUCUCACUGGCCAAUUAACUUUGCAGAAUGGGCAAUCAUGGGACUAUUUACUGACUAGACCAGAGUAAUGUAAAGGCAAUGUAAAGUUAAAGAUCUCACAAGUCCUUUACUUAUGUGAGAAGUCUGCCUAAGUGGGAAAACAAUUUACUUUUCUAGUGCAAAUCACUCUCUGCUCGACAGCAAAUUUAGAAUCUGGAAUUCAGAGCCGGUUAAAUCAGGACACAAACCUUGGAUUUGUAAAUUUCCACUGGUGCAAACUUGGACAAGAUACUCAAUAUCUCUGAGGCUUAUUUUUUAAUUUAUGAUUUAAAAAGCAUAACAAUACAUACCUUAAAAUAUAGUUGUAAAGUAUUAACUGCUCAGCAUACUUUGUGUUAAACAAUUCCAUUAUAACAGAGUCACUCUAGUGGUGCUCAAGCAACCACAAAGGAGAAUAAGAAACAGUCAUACAAGAAAGCAUGUUUUCUAAAUAAUAUCCUUAAAUCCUGAAUAAUUUGUUUGGGCUUUUCUAUAUUAGCCCCUUUAAAACACUUUUAAAUCUAUUACACUUUCAAAUUCAUUCACCAUGAAUUGUGCCCUCUUCAACCAUUAUUGAACUCAUCCAAAAAGGGGUUUGUUGAAGGUGCUUUUCAAAAUUCAAUACUCAUUUCAGGUAAACGUUUAUUUUUUAAAACAAUUUUUAAUUAAGUAAAAUUAAAUACUCCAAAGUUUUUACUAUUUAAUUUCUGUUUAAAUAAAAAUAAGAAAUCAGGUGGUUAUAAAACAAGAGAGAAAUACAUGAAUGGAACUAGUUGAUUUAAUUUAGCGUUGUGCAAAUAAAACAACCAUAUGAAAAAAACAGCAAGGAAAUCAUGGCCUAACACAGUUCCCUAGGGAAAAGAAGCAGAAUAGACAAUGGAAAUGUAUACCAUUCAUUCAUUUUUUCAUUCAUUAAAUCAGUUCUGAAUACUUAGUAAAAGGCCCAGGGCUAGGAUCAAAACCAAAAUAAAUAGCUUUCGUUGUUGAUUUUGAAUUUCCAUCUUGCCAG